GCAGUAGCCGCGGUAACACAGAGGGUGCGAGCGUUAAUCGGAUUUACUGGGCGUAAAGCGUGCGUAGGCGGCUUCUUAAGUCGGAUGUGAAAUCCCUGAGCUUAACUUAGGAAUUGCAUUCGAUACUGGGAAGCUAGAGUAUGGGAGAGGAUGGUAGAAUUCCAGGUGUAGCGGUGAAAUGCGUAGAGAUCUGGAGGAAUACCGAUGGCGAAGGCAGCCAUCUGGCCUAAUACUGACGCUGAGGUACGAAAGCAUGGGGAGCAAACAGGAUUAGAUACCCCAGUAGUCCCUGUCUCUUAUAC
rnacentral:rRNA from 1 species